GAGAACAUUAGGAAGGUUGAGAGCAACUGCCCUAGAUCCUGCUAGACUUGGAACCUUGCCACAAAGCCAUGGUUUAACCGUUGAAGAACAACAGCAGGUACAGAAGGGCUGACUAGCAGAGGCUCCCCUGCAGUUCCUUAAGAAGAGGAUUAUGAGUUUGACUGAAAGGUAACAGAAGAUUCCCCCCAGGACUGAGAAGUAAAGAAAAUGAAUUAAAGGAAUAUCGACUUUUAAAAUUUAAUUUUUUCCUUUCUGUGGGUGGAGAUACUGGAGCCAGCCUGACCAUGACCAUUGGCUAUACCCACGGAAAAUAGGAAACCAUUUCUACCAGGAAAAGAGCUGCUUAGACACCGCCACAGAGAGGGAAGCCAGUCAUGAAAACCAAUUCAGAAAAGUGGACUAUGAGCUGCAGUUGGAGAUGCAUUGGAGCUGUAUUGGCAAAGCCAGCAUGUCGCUGUAGAUUCAGUAAGCAUUGGCCAACAGACUUCCAGGAUUUGUGGCCGUUGGCAAGACCAGCCAUUGUAUACACAUGUAAUUUGUUUCACUUUGAGCAGAUUCAACUCUCACAGAAGACUCUUGGAUGGCUUUCUGACUUUCUAAGUAGAUGUGCCUAUAAGAAUAAGGCUCAGAAUUAAAACUCUAUGAACUGUA